CAAGAGCUCUUUUCGUUUCCAAAAUGGCGGACUACGAUCUGACCACCAAGAUCGCGCAUUUUUUAGACCGGCAUUUGGUCUUUCCGCUGCUGGAGUUUCUAUCCGUCAAAGAGAUCUACAAUGAGAAAGAACUUUUUCAAGGGAAGCUGGACCUUCUCAGCGAGACAAACAUGGUCGACUUUGCCAUGGAUGUAUACAAGAACCUCUAUCCGGAUAAAGACAUUCCACAUUCCUUAAGGGAAAAAAGAACGACAGUAGUGGCCCAGCUGAAACAGCUCCAAUCUGAGACCGAACCCAUUGUGAAGAUGUUUGAAGAUCCGGAGACUCAGAGACAGAUGCAGUCCACCAGGGAUGGGAGAAUGCUGUUUGAGUAUUUAGCAGAGAAACAUAGUUUUCGUCAGGAGUAUUUGGAUACACUAUACCGCUACGCCAAAUUCCAGUAUGAGUGUGGAAACUACUCGGGUGCGGCCGAGUAUCUUUACUUCUUCCGUGUACUAGUUCCCUCCACAGACAGGAACGCUUUAAGCUCCCUCUGGGGGAAACUGGCGUCUGAGAUCCUCAUGCAAAACUGGGAGGCGGCCAUGGAGGACCUGACCCGUUUACGAGAGACCAUCGACAACAACUCGGUUAGUUCACCCCUUCAGUCUCUGCAGCAGAGGACGUGGCUCAUUCACUGGUCUUUAUUUGUCUUCUUCAACCAUCCCAAAGGCAGAGACAACAUCAUUGAGCUCUUCCUGUAUCAGCCCCAGUACCUGAACGCAAUUCAGACCAUGUGCCCACACAUUCUACGCUACCUUACCACAGCUGUCAUUACCAACAAAGACGUGAGGAAACGACGGCAGGUCCUCAAAGACCUUGUUAAGGUCAUCCAACAGGAGUCGUACACAUAUAAGGAUCCCAUCACGGAGUUUGUGGAGUGCCUCUAUGUUAACUUUGAUUUCGACAGCGCUCAGAAGAAGCUGAGAGAAUGCGAGUCGGUGCUAGUGAACGACUUCUUUCUGGUAGCCUGCUUGGAGGAUUUCAUCGAAAACGCCCGUCUGUUCAUAUUCGAGACGUUCUGUCGGAUCCACCAGUGCAUCUGCAUCAGCAUGUUGGCGGAUAAGCUGAAUAUGACCCCCGAGGAGGCUGAGAGAUGGAUCGUCAACCUGAUCCGCAAUGCCAGACUGGAUGCCAAAAUCGACUCCAAACUGGUGAGAGAGCUCUGGGGGUCAUGUGGUGAUGGGCAACAAUGCUGUGUCGCCGUAUCAGCAGGUGAUCGAGAAGACCAAGAGCCUGUCCUUCCGUAGUCAGAUGCUUGCAAUGAACAUUGAGAAGAAAAUAAGCCACAGCAGCCGAAAUGAGACACCAAACUGGGCGGCUCAAGACUCUGGCUUUUAUUAGACUAUCAACCAAAAUCAAAACAGUGGAUCAACCGUUAUGUUCAUCAAUCACAACUUAGUAUUUAACUUACUUUUACCUAGGUUUGUUUUAUAUAGGAUCAUUUCAGAAAAGACUGCUGCCGACAUUUCCACAGCGUGAUGAGGGCUGUGGAGUUCUGGGAUGUUAAAUUCUGACAGAACAUUUUAUAAGUUCUUUAUGACGGACAGACCUGAACAUAUUAAGUGAAUAUUCCAAUUGUAUGUCAUCUCAAAAAACAUUGUUUUUACCUUAGAGUGUUCGCAUACACCAAAAUAAACACAAAGUGUUUAUUCACAUGCUGAGUUCACAUGCAUUUGGCUGAUGCUUUCAUCAAAUGUAAAUGUAAAUGUAAAAGCGACUUUGCUUUUAUUAGUGUGUAUAUUCCUGUCGAAUGAAUGCAUGACCUUGGCAUAGUGAGCACCAUGCUCUAGAUGCUAUUAGAUGCUUUCAUAAUCUUAACCUGCUUCAGAUUGAAACUAGAGGUGUUUAAAGUGAUGUUUGUAAUUGUUGUAAGAUUGUGAUUUUUAUUUUUUAUUCCAAACAGGUUUUUACAUGACCUCUGUCUGCAAUACUUUGUGAAAACCAUUCAAUGCCAUUUUAAACAGUUUAUAACAGGAAGUCCUGUUCUAAACUGGCAUUCUAUAUAAAAAAUAAUCAAACUAA